rnacentral:lncRNA from 1 species
GUGCAAGCUAGACACCUUGUUAAAAUGUGAAGAAUUUUUCAAGAAACGAUUCAAAAAUAAAGGAAAUGAACUUUCGCCCGAAGCUGGCCCAUCUAAGACACCUGAAAAGACUGAUAGAAACGGAAAGUGUGAAAAAUGUCUGAAACAGUUUUUCUCACUUCCACAUGCUGAAGACUGCCUUUGUUGCCUUUGCAAUCCUUCUGCGGCUGCUGGUAAAGCCAACUAUGUUUGCUCAGGUCCAAAACCUGGGCCCAGAAACGAAGAAGACCAGAAAAAAAAGCCCAGCAAUUUCGGAAAACCUGGAUCUCCAGAAGAAGACUCAAAGUCUUCGAGCAGCUUUGGAUAUGGAUUUGCUGAUAGUGGAAGUUUUUCAUCAAAGUUUUCACCAAGAUGCCUGCAACCAAAACCAGGUUCAUCUGGUGAAAAAUCUGACGUGAUCGUCAUAACCGAUGAUGAGGAGAAAAGUCCAUCAAAAAGUAAAACUGAGAAAAUUGUCACGGAAACUAAACAGACCGCAUCAUCCACUAGGAGCUCUGGUGGUGCGUUGAAGACGAGUAAUUCACAAAAUAAACUUGGAAAUCAGACUGCUGGAGGCAAGCCAUCGGCAAGUGAGAGUAGUGCCAGCAAUUCCACUCAUGAAGAAGUGUGGAGUAAAGCAAGAAACAAACAGUCUGAUCAGCAGAACAAAACGCAAUUCAAUAAAGUCAACAACAUUGAAGCAAAGAAUGCUGCCCAGAACAGGAAAGAGAACAAGGAUAAGAAAGUACUUAACAAGCCGGCUCUAAGUCGGUCCGCAAAAGAAGAUCAAAAGAAAUGAGAGCUGAAGUGACAAACCAGCUGGAUCACCUAAGUGUGAGCAGUAGUAAAACGACUAAACUGGCUCAUACCGAUGAAAAUAAGGCUGACAGACCUGUCAGUUUUAAGCCUAGUCAUAAUCUCCAGGAUUCUUCCAAUCCAGUUACCAUCCCAGAUUUGAGUCAAGUAGAUAUCCCGGAUCAUGUGUAUGAAAUAGUAAAAAACCUACAACUCAGAAUGCCACCCACAUUUUUAAAUUCUAAGACUCCAUCUCAAACUGAAGGAAGCACCUCUAAGCCCAGCAGCCUUGAUCAAAAGUCAGAAAACACCUCUCCAUCAAGUGUUUGUCCUUAUCAAGAAAAUUUUGACAUUGAACCACUACAACCAUCUGACAGAGGUCUCUCUUCCAUGUCAUAUACGAAUAAUCGACCUAAUUUGGCAACAAGCUCUCACCAACCACCAUAUAGCUCAGCUCACUCCUCUGUAGUCUCUAGUGACCUGAACUUUCCUAGUUCUCACAAUGUUCAAAUCCAUAGUACAAGUACAAAUUCUGUGAGGCAUUCCAUGCAUGCUGACCAAAGUAUGAACAAAAUUCCAAGUCGCACCGAUGUAAAACCUCACUCGGCUGAUCCUCGGAGACGUCCUACUUCCAAUAUUGGUGGUAGCUCUGCUCAGCAGUCGAACAUUCAGAGUAAUUUAGGAAAUCCUCGCAUUGCUGACCCCAGACGAAGAACUUCAUCUGAUCUUCAAUCAUCCCAUUUAAGUAUUAACAAUCAAAGUCACACUCAGGUCACAAGUUUAGCAGGCUCCUGGCAGCACCCUUCCUCAAGAUUAAACUCAACAGCUAUUUCUAGUCAUUCCAGUAAUGCCGGGCCUAUCCGUCCUUACCAACAUCCGGCUUAUACAACUCCUCAAGUCCACCCACCUAGUGUCUCACACCACCCUCCAGCAUUCACUAGUAGAUCUGUCACUACUUCUAACUGUAUUCCUCCAUCUGUGUUCUCUCAAGCUAACCGUACUUCGAGAUUCAAUCCUGCUUCUAGUCCACAAGAAUUUUCAAGUCCUGCAGAAGACAUUAUUAUGAACGAAGACAUGCAGAUGUCUCCAGACUCACCUGAAGAGACAUCCACCACUACCUGUCCUCCGAAGGAAACCAUGGAACAUCAAGAAUUCGCUCUAAAUUAGCAGAGGGUAUUACAACAAUGCAAAAAUUAGGGAAAACACCCAACACGCCUAGAAAAGACAGAAUGAUCUCUAAUCUCAACCUGGGGUCGUUGAUGACCUAGCAGCCUCCAGAGAGACCAAGAAUUCGCUGUUCGUAGACUCUUUAGUAAACUCACAAGUGCCUUGCAAUGAUAAGAAAGACCCAAAAUGUACCACACCGGUAAAGCAUUCUAAAGUACCUGAAAAAAAUAUUGAUACCAUUAACAGCUUGAAAACGCACUCAGGCGGAUCAAGUUCCAGACCACCUCCAAUAAGGCCCGUAGGAAAAGCCCUUUUGCCCACUCCUCCACUGGGUCGAGGUAACUGUGAUAAUACUAGAUUUCCUACCAGUAAUGUUCCAAGUUCUUUCAACCAAAAAAUUCCUCCUAGGGUUCCACAAGUAGCUCUUUCAAUGAAUCUAUUAGAACUUGUUUUUCAGCCAAUAACGAAUCAAGCUCUGCAACUGAUUUUAAUAGCACUUUCAGGAGUAGUUUUCAUCAACCUUCUGCACCGAACUCUGCAGGUGAUUUUAAUGAAACUUUCAGAAGUAGUUUUCAUGAACCUCUUACGCAAGCCUACGGUGAUGUAUGCCCAGAACAGGAAAUCCCGAUCAAUACAGAAUUGCUCCAAGUUCAUCGCACAGGUCUGUGGAUUCCCUUCUCCGAUCUCAGUCAUCCCCUGACCCAGCUGACCUUUGGUCCCAAACUGCAUCAAGAUGGAACACAGAUGUGCGUUAUAACAUUGAUAAGCGGGAUAGAUAUGAUGAUUACUACUCAUCCCAUCACAAUCUUGAUCAGCGUUCUAAUGAUCGCCUCACAGGUGACCAUCGUUCAAGCGAUGAUCGUUUUUCCGACCAUCGUCCAAGUGAUCUUCGUUUUAAUGACCAUCGUACAUUUGACCGUUCUGAUUACCGUUCAAGAGAUCCUCGCUCAAGCGAUCCUCGAGUAAGUGGUUCACGCACAGGUGAUUCGCGCUUUAGUGAAAACAUCAAGUCCCGCCCGCCCUCUACUGACCCAAGAGCUCGUUUGGGUGAUUCGGCAAUGAACAUGAGAAAACAGAAUAUUCGAGAUGAAGAGAGGCCUGGCAAUAACCGUGAUCCUAGAAGGCGGAGUUUAGAAACAGAGGGACGACCUGGAAGAUCUAGAAGUAGACCACCAAGAGGCAGCAAGAAAAGCUCUGUCAAUGAUAUUUCAAGAUCACGCCAAAAAUCUAAAGAUAGGUCCUGCGUCAAAACGAUUCCGGAGCCAGACGAAAGGGAAGACUUUCUGUCACCAUUAGAUAAUAAUGCCAGAAAACCUAUCACAUCGAAAACAGGCCGUGGCUAUGGAAUUCAAAACUACAAAAUCCCCAAGAAGAUUAGUCAACAAGCUCCUCGAGUAGAUCCCAGAAGAGACCCUGACCGAGAUUCGGCUAAAAAAAAUAGCGCUGGAAAGGAAAGCUCAGAUCAACAUGAAAUUUCUUCUGUGGAACAUGAUGACUCAAUAGACGUAGACAUGGAUGUGGACGUGGACAUGGACUUGGGCAAUGACAUCAGUGUACCUGAUGACAGUGGGAAUAAUGUAGUAGCUAAGUCAAGCACUGCCCAAACUGAGAGGAACUCUCCAAAGAAGUCAUUGAAAUCUAAGAAAGAAGAAGGUGCAGAAAAACAGUCAUCGAAACUUGUGACCCCAAAGAAAUAAUAAAUGAGGAGGCAAAAACACAAGUAAAUGUGGUAAACUGUGGUGAUGCAACUGAUUCGGAACUUCAAAAUGAAGACACCAAGAAGUUGAAGGCAGAUUCAUGUGGAUCUACAAAGCCAUUAAAGUCCUCUAAGGUUGCAAUUAGUGACAUUCUUCAGACAACAGCCAGAGUUGUCAUCUCAUCAGAUGAAGAGUCUCUGGCUCGUGAAAACAAAAGUAGUCUUCUUUUGAAGGAGGGUAAACCUGGUCUAACUGUUCCAUCUGAUGAAGAUUCAGAAAAUCAUCCGAAGAACAGUGAUGAAAAUGCUAAAAAUAAAUCCACUCCCAAAAGGAGUGUUAAGACUGAUCCUAACAAGAUCGUUAUUUCUGAUUCAUCUGAUGAUGAGUGUACCAUGAGAGUUCGAACAAACGAACCCAAUGAAAAGUUACCAAGAGGGAAGAAAUUAAAGACCAAGAAACGCAAGGAAAAAACGAAAAAGAAGGAUAGCUCUGCAGAGAGCGAUAUAAAUUUUGAUGAAAGCAGUGAAGAAGAAAAGUCCAAAGCUUCCAAAACAUCAUCCUCAAUUAAAAAAUCAGAUGUUUCAAGCGAUAGUGAUACUGAUGAAAGCCAUAAAGGAAAAAAGACUAAAGCCUCUAAAAAGUCAUCUUCAACCAAUAAAUCUCUUGUUGGAAGCGACAGUGACUCUGAUGAAACUAGUGGAAAGAAAACGUCAAAAUUGACUAACAAGUCAAUCUCAACCAAAAAAUCUCUUAUUCAAAGUGACAGCGAAUCCGAUGGAAGCAGUAUAGAAAAAACGUCAAAAGUUUCCAAAAUGUCAUCCUCAACCAAAAAAUCGGAUGUAAAAAGUAAAUCUGCUAAAAAGAAAGCCAUGCCAGGAGAUACAAGUGAUUCAGAUGUUCCAUUAAAGAAGUCAUCAUCUAAGAAAGUUAAAGGAAUGUUAAAAAAGUCAAGGUGCAUGACCACACCACUGAUUCUAGCUCUUCUGAAGGAAGCGAUGCAGAAAGCAUUAAAAGCAAGAAGAAAAUGGGGAAAAGAAGCAGAGGGGAACAAAAGAAUCUCAAAGUUCUUCCAGUGAUUCUUCUUCUUCUGCAUCCUCCAUAGACUCUGUUAACAAACAGAAAAAAAAGAAAAAAUCGGGCUCGGACAAGUGUUCCAGAGCUCGCAAGCAAAAGGACAAGUCAAAAAUAUAUGAAUCAAAGAUCACCUCAUCAAAAAAAUCAGGAUCAAAGAAAAAUUCUAAACCGACUGCAGAAAUAAUAAUUUCAAGUGAUUCUAGUGAUGAUGAAGUUUUAGCAGUGAAAGUCAAAAAAUAAAAGAGACAUGCUUAUCAGAUGGUAUCAGGGACAAACCUUCCUGUGACUCCAAGAAUACACCAUCAACCAAAAAGCAAAUAAUAGAAUCAGAUGCCGAACACCAAAAUAAUGAUGUUGAGGACCUUAAACCAAUUGAGAAUAAAAAAGAUCAGAUAAGUUGUAACAAAGUUGACAGCACAAGUGACACAAAUGAACCAGGGGCUCCAAAGACACAAGUGGCUACAAAGGACUUUCUGUCUCUAAUUACUGAUUCGCUCAUGACUGCUGUGGCGUUACAGGAAAAGUUAGGUCCCAAGUUUUAGAGAACGUAGAAUUAGUGGCGAAACUUAUGCAAGGUGAUACACUAGAUAAAAUUAAGGACCUGUUGACGGGAAAAGAUAAAGCUUCAAGCUCCUCUGCUGAAUCCAUCAAGAGAGAACAAGAUACCCCUAAAGCCAAAUUGACGGAGACUUCAGAAGAAACUGCAUCAGAAAUUGUGCCAGAUGAACACCCGUCUGCUUCAAGUGAAUAUGGUGGAGUUAUUGCCAAAGAAGAUAUUUCUAAACCUGCAAAUGAAUCCGUAUUAAAAUGUAAAGAAACGGAUGGACGUGAUGAAAAUGCUGGUGAAAUUAUCAAAACCCAAGUCCUUCCAGAAGUGCCCCAGGGAGAUGAAAAUGGGCAACUGUUAUCAGCCCUGAGCCUGAAAAAAGCUUAUCUUUAAAUGCAUCCCUUACAGAGCCUGAACCCGAAGAAGGUUUGUCGAAACCAGCAGCAGGAUGUUCAGCACAGGAUUUGGCGACAGAAGCGUCUAAUGCAAGUGCAGUCCAGAGUUCGAACACAGGCGUCACUCUAAACCAAGAAAAAUGCGGUCUUGAUGUUGAAACCGUGCCAGAUGAAAGUGUUCUUGAAUCUCAGCCAGUAAAAGUAACUAAUAAGGUUGAACAUCCUCGCAAGAGAAAACGUGGCAAAAAGGCCCUCAAAAAUAAAGCUGUGACUAAUUUAAAGCAAAGUUCUGUUCAUCUUUUACAAAACAGUGCUGAUUCUUUAAGUAUCGAAGAGAGAAAUCAAAUUUAUAAAGAAAUGUGUGUUGGAGCGGUUAAAAAUUUUGAAACGGUCCCCAAGCAAAGAAAAACCAAAAAUGAGCUAGACAAACUGCAUGAGGAUCUUCGAGAAAGUUUAUAUCGCAAGAUGUCAUCAAGGCCACUGGGAUUCGUUCUUGUAGAGUUAAAGCCCAUGAAAUGGACCUGAUUUCAGCAGAUGACUCAUUAGAGAAAAUUCCCAUUGCUCGAGGUCGAAAAAAGAGCUCUGAGAGACUGGAAACUAAUGACAAAUCAACAAAAAAUAAGGCUGCCAAGGUGAAAAGAAAACCAAGUUCUCAGCAUAUCAACUCAUCAGACAGUGAUGAAGAUAGCCACAAAAAGCCAAAACGCGAUUCAACGGACUCACCUCCUCCCGUUUUAGAGGCUUUUACAGAUUUGAAAGAAAACGAAUCUUUAGGAGUAAAUAAACUGCCAUCAAAAUCUGAAAGUCCAGAGAAGGCCCCUCCCCAAUUGUAUCCUUCUCAUGAAAUUUUACCACUAGUAGAUCCGCCGUCCUUUUUUGAUCUUCCUGAAAUCUAUGCACUAGAUUACUUUACACCAAAAUUCAGAAGACAAAGAUUUAAUUUGGCUGAAUUCAAAAGUAAAUAUUUUGUGGUCAAAAAGCAAACUAGUCCCUCAGCUGGCUGUUCUAUCAACGCAAAGCAAAUUGUAAAAUUCUUUGGAUGUGGACGCAGGCUCGACCGAAAGAGGAAGAUUACCUCUAUUUCUGAAAUUUCAACUAAUUCAUCAGGUCUCUCGGAACCCAAAAAACGUAAAGUGGUCCAGAACCAAGUUCAACCUGUGCAGAAGGCUAGAGUUUUAGUCAAAACA